UCCUGGUGGGCGUUAUCUGAGCUCUGACUGGGGUAGCUGAGACACAGCAGGGAACUCACUUGGGAUCUCACUCCUUCACGUUUAGUGCACUUAGCCAGUGAACUGCUGAGUAAGAGGCCAGUAUCCACUACUGUGGGGAAGUUUUGCUGAAAGAUAAGCAGCUGACAUUGAUGCUUAGCUUCGGUAGAAGAGGACUUGUGGCCAGAGGAGAAUGCUUCUGUUUCCAAAAGAGGAAAGAGGGCUAAGACGUAUUUAUUAAAAGGAGGUGCCAGGCUCUGCUUGUGCAGUGGAGACUUUAUACUGAAGACAAAAUAUGCGUGAUCCCUGUAUCUCUUGCUUGGAUUCAGCACGACAAAACAUCACCUUCACAUAUUUACAAGCUGCAUUCAAGCUCUCUAUGACACAGGAGAGGAGUUCCAGGCUUCUGCUUAAAAGGUGUCUCCAGCCUUGGACUGCAUUGAAUUGCAACUAGGCAGAGUGCAACAGGUGCCAGAAGGCAAGAGCUGGGUGAACCCCUCCAACGUCCACACUUCUAGCCUGGGGAACUGGAGUGGUAAGACAAGAAUGACGAAGUUUUAAAAAAGAGCAGUGUCUGUUUCUGGAAUAAUCUGUUUAUCUGCUGCUCAGACAUAAUCCCUCUUACGGUCCAGCUGGAAGAGCUUUCUUCAUCUUAUUAACCUUCUGGAGCAGCAUCUGUCAACCCCAGAAGACUUCAACAAUACCGUGAUAAACAACAGAAGUUUCUUCUAGUUCCCAUUGCCUUCGAACAUUGAUCCUUUGGGUAUUCUGGAGAAAAAUGGCAAUUGAGGCCUUCAAGGACUCCAUUUAGAAGACCUUUGGAGGGGGUGUGUGUUGCUAUUGUUUUCUGAAAGGGACAGGUGACAGUCAGCACGACUCUGUGGACCUGACCUGAAACUUCCUGAUUUAUAUGUGUGUUGAUAACUGUCACUAACAAAGUUAGUGGCUGCCGUGAUUCAUAGUCCAGCAAAAGUUCCCACAGUGGCCCCACUUCAUGCUGCAAUGCAGUGAGGGCCCUCCCUGGAGGAUGCAGGCUUCAGAAACCAGGCUCUGUUGUCAGCCGAGCUUGAUGCUCUGCUCAAUGCUGAUGGAAGAGGAUGUUAUAUGGGUUCCUCCCACCUUACCCCUGAGAGCUCAGAUAUAAGUGCAGACUGUUCUUCUGAAAACUUGCAGAGACUGAAGACAGAGCUUCUGCUGAAUGGGAAGAAAGCUUCUUCCAGAAAAUUGCACAGAUCCAGCAAGAGCAGAUAAGUAUCUUAUAUUUGCUUUAGUGAGUCUUCUUGUAACCGUCUUAGUAGACUGGAUUUGUGCUUUUUUAGUGAAAGUGCGUUGCCUUUCAGCUCUUAAAUUAGCUUUAUUCUAAUUCCCAUUAACACACAACAGAUGGAGAGCUAUAAUCUGAAGGGUCCUGUAACUAAGUCUGCCAAGUGUAUUUGUGUACAAAAGACUUGAUUCCAUCAUGGUUUUGGCUUGAUUUCUACGAAAUGGUAUAUAAUUGACUUAAAGUACGUGAUCUGUUUCACAAAAUCUACUGAAUCAACUUUUGAGCAGAGUGUAGCUUAGAUGCAUGUGUUUGUCUGACUGAAGCCCUGGGUACAUUCCUUUCUCAUGUUCAUAGUUUUCCACUUCAACAUAAUACAUGUAUUAGAUUGUUUAGAUUGUCAGCUACGAUUUACAGAAGUAGAAAUCUUAGAAUGAUAAAUAAGUGGCAAAGACAUGGUUUAAACAGGAUACUAAGAAAAACUAGCUAAUUGUUUUGAAUUCUGGAUUUGUAUUUGUUCCGGUUUGUGACUGGAUUGUAAAAGUAGGUUGUAGUUUCAGAGACAUCUUAAAAUUUUUUACACAAGGAUUCAAAUGCCUCUGACCUUUACAAAGGUUGGUGCAAAUUUAGGAUUGGAAUGUAUCAUGACACUCUCUCAGAACCUCUGUUAUAAUAUAUAGUUCACUUAUUUAUGUCAUAUUAUACAGAAUACAAAAACAGUGAAAAGAGCACCAAGUAAAAGGUUCACUAAAAAUCUUUCUGCUGAAGCGCUUGGUGAGGGUGAGGAAACUGACACAGUCCUACAUGUUCACAAUACAUAAAACAAUAUAAGGGAAAUAAUAAGAAUACACAUAUUUGUUAAAUUGCAGAGAUAAACUUCCCAUCAAAGAGCCAUAAUUUCUUUCAGUGCUAUAGGAAAGCAAUUAGAAUAGUUUCUACAGUUGUUGCUUUUGUUACAUUUACAGACAUUUCUUUACAGAGAAAAACAUUUAAUAACAGGAAAUUCUGAUGAUUGUAAAUAUAUUUCCACUUCAUAUUAUAAAAGGAAUUUGUGAAAUUAAAUGAAAGCUACUGAAGCAUUAGGGAAUAUAAAAAUACUGUACAGCACUCGUUCAGUUUGACACGUGAUAGAGCAGAAAACCACCUUUUCUCCCGUUUUUGCGAGGCUUAUUUCAUGUCCACAAAUGCAGAAUGGGUACUUCGAUACUGAUGGUCAAUUCUGAAAAUUCCUGGUUUUUGAGUGCAUUACAAAAAUGCAUUCCUUCUGUUGAUAGAACAGAAAAUAUCAGUUCUUUUGAUAUAAUGCAAAUGGGCCUAUUCUACUUUAAUUGUGCAGUCAGUGCUCCUGUUGAAUUUAUUUAUAGUCUCAAGGGAAUCAGUGUAUAGUUUUUUACACCUGAGUUUGAAGUUUAAGAUUUAUUGUUUAUGUUUUUAAGGCUUAACUAAUUUGUAGUUAAAUUUGAGAGGGCAUUGGUUAUAAAAUUGCUGAGUCCAGAAUUUCGAUCUAAUGAAAAACCACAGCUUAUGAGAAAAUCAACAGGCUUUCAUCCCCAAAGAAUCUAUUUAUGGGAAAAGCAGAAGGUUUCCAUCCCCACAGAAAUUACUUCAUUAUUCUGGAGACUGCAUAUUGCAUAAGGAGGAUGAGUAGGGAGUAACUGCCAGAGCUGUACAAAGGCACAGACUCAAGCAGAGAGGGAAAGGAAAGUACAAAUAUCCUUAUGUCACAUAAAAAAAGUCAAUUGGAUCUUUAAUUGUCACUGGUAAAGCUAUUAGUCAAACUGGACAAACUGAAAGAGCUGACUUAAAGGACAGCCCACAGCAUCUUGUCCUACUGAUUAGAAGGAACGAUGCUAUUUAACUGGGAUUAGCUAGCUGAUAUUUCUGGAUAUGUAAACACCUGGAUUGCAUCUUCAAAAUGGUAAACAGGCCUUCUUAAAGAGGAGACCUGUUAACAGGAUAGUAUCAAGCAUGAAUACAACAAGCAGACUUCCCAGAACUGACCUAGUUCAGCUUUAUGUUGUUUACCAGGGACUACAUCUCGUGCAGUAUCCUACGAAGUGUGCAGGGACAUCUGAUGACCAAAUCAGAGACUGCAAUUAAACACACUUAGGCCACCUGAGCACACAAAAAAUAAGUGUACAGGAGAGCCUGGGGUGGGUGCAGGCAAUGCAGGUGUUCAGAAAAUUACCUCACGUGCAUGCAAAUAUUACUUUGUGUAAAACAAAGAAAGUUGUUAUCUGAAUAGGAAUGCCGAAUGAGGCUGUAAUUGAAAUAAUCCUGACCAAUGCAACAUUAAAGCUAAUUGAAACAACCUAAAACCAACCAGCUCCCAUCCCCUGUAUUUUUGCAACUGAAUGGUGUGUAGUUUUAAAGUGACAGGAUGUAUCUAUAUGUAAAAAAUCAGAGUACUGCUUAUACAGGAAAAUCAUCUCAGCAAUCUACUUAAGGCAUAAGGAUUUGUGGGAAGUGUAAUUAGACUAGUAUUCUGGGAAUUUAGAAAGCUGGAUUGAAUUCUGUGUUCAUCUACAGACAACUGUGUGACCUUCAGCAGAGUCCUUGGGUCAGAUCGCCAAGGCUACAGUGAGGGGGAGUUAGAGGCUUAAAAGCCUUUGAUGAUCUGGAGCUUUGUUGAUCAGUCGAACUCGUUUUCAUAAAACUUUCCUCUCUCAAGGCAGUACUGAGAGGAUGAAUGUCUUACAACUGUGCUUUUAUGGUAGUAAGAGAAAGUACCAUGCUGUUCUUGAUCGUAGUUGCUGACCACACCUCUUACUUCAAAAAGUGCAUGCAGGUGCUGAAUUGAAUCAUGAUGGUAUAGACUUUUGCUCUUGCAAGGGAGGUUUUUUUCCUAAGUAUCAGACAACUUCAAGUCUGGGUUAAUAAUCUGAAUAAAAGCACUAGCAAAGGAACUUUUAGCUGGUCGGUUCUGUUUUUAUCAUGAGAUGACUCUACAGUUAAUGUGAAUUGUUAUAAAAAAUUUCAUGGUACUCUGAUGUUAUUAAGACUGCUUAACUUAAAUAUUUUUCUAGGAUUUAAAAAACUCCUACUUGCCACAAAAAUAAUAAUAAAAAAGGAAUCCAUGACAGAUAUUUUCUGUCUUGGAAAUGUCAGUGGGCUCUGGGGACAUCUUCUCUUAGUGAAUAGGCCUCUCUGCUUUGCUUUUUAGUCAUUGAUGUAAUGUUUUUCCGUAAAAUUUCUUUUUCUCUUAACAAAAUCUAUUUGAAAAUUCCUCUCCUGAGGAACGAAAGCAAAUUCUUGCCUUUCAACAGUCUCUCUGUAUCUUUCUCUUAUAAAGUGGAUUUUCAGGAAUCAUCUUUAUCAUCUUUUCAGCAAUUCCUGAAGCAUAAGUGAUAACUUUUUUGUAGAAGAGAUAAGGACUGUUUUAAGUUUGUUUACAUAAGACAGAAUAAGAAUCUUAUGUUCAGAUUCAAAGAGAUUGUUUGCAUUUACCUGCAGCGAUGCAAUUUGUGCUUUUAAAAAAAAAAAUUAUCCCUCUUAAAUUAUUAGAACCUUGCAAACACAGAUCUGCAGAUAGAGGCAGCAGAAACAGCAUGGAAGAGUAUUUAUGCCUUGACUCAUAACUAUCAGUUUUUCUACAUUGUUGAUUUUUAAAAGAUGAGAAAGAAUUAAAAAAAAGAAAAAGGAAAUUAUUCAAGAACUUAAUAAUAAUUCUUUUAUGCAAUGAAAGGUUGAACUGAUGGCAGCAAUGCUGUGCUCCUUUCCUGAUUAAAAAUUUAAAAUGUUUAGUUCUACACAGUUCAGUCUCUUUUGCAUCAAAGGAGUCAUACCAUCUUAGGUUAUGACAGAAUUUGUCCCAAAGUAUUUUUAUAAAAAUACAUAUAGGUAUAUUUGCCACUGUAAAGCAUUUUUACUCACAUCUGUUCUGUGUAUGAUUCUAUAAAUAACCUUUAGGGGAACACCUAAAGGAAUUAGGUUGAGCAGUAAGACGAUAAAUAUAAUUCAUGGCUGAUGUAUGCAGUGUAAUUGUAUUAGAAAAAAUAAGUGGAACUUCUCCUAACUCUCACUGGGGUCUGAAUACAGAGCCACAAAGAUUCAAAGAUCUGCCCAUCCCUGUUUGUACCUCAGUGAAAACUAAGAAACUGUUAGAGAAUACCUCAAAUAGAAAAGAAAUUAUCCUGAACUUGUGUAAAUUUUUAAUGUAACUUAAUGGGAUAGAUUUCAUUGGAAUAUUGUGUUUGAUUAUAUCACCUUUCCUAUACAACAUUUCUUGUAUAAUUUUAGCAAGGAAUUUUCCUGGUUUGGGUUUUUCCCAGCAAAAUAAUCUGAUGUAACAAUGAGUUUUUGAGGCUUAAUUUAUAGAUGCCUGUUAUCUUAACACCCCUAGCUGGAGGGUGAUAUAAUAGGUGCAGAGCAUUGUUAUUACAGUGGGCAUUGACAAUGGAUCAGGCGAAAUAUUUUUCUUGAUUUGUCUGUCAUACCACUGUAGCCAGUGGCAAAUGUUUAAGGGAAAAGUAGAAAACCAGAAUAAGUAGUAGUAGUAGUAAUAAUAGUAGUAGUAGUAGCAGUAGUAGUAAUUGUCCACAGAACAUUCUGAACCUCCUAAAUUACAGUUAUGGGCUUCCACUUUUUUUUUUUUUUUUUUUUUAACAAAUAACCAAGGCUACUUUCACACUUCAGCCAAGGAUCCUGACUGGCAGAUCUUACACAGUUCCUCUGCUAGACCUGUGAGCUCCUGAAUCACCAGGUGGAGGCCAGACAGAUAAUUCUGCGUCAUUUCACGCCUGAGACCUCAAACAUGGUGUGGCAGAAGAAUUCUGGAGACUGUGUGAAGCUUUGCUGAGAGGUGACUGGAAAGACACGUGAAUUAACAGUAUGUGGCAGGAGGUGAAGAGUAGAUGCACUUUGAAAUUAAUUACCAGCAUCAUUAUUUUGAUCAGCCAUUAAACUGAAACAUAUGUAAGAAAAAUGAAGUCUUUAGAAGAAAAAAGAUGUUGCUUAUAGAAGACCAAAGAAAUUUGCCUUUCUUGUUUGAAUCACUUAGUGAGGACUGCAGAACACUGUACUGCUGCUGCCAAGUUCUGCACUCAAAGCCUGGUCUAACAAAGAAGGCAUAUGCUGAUUUAAGAUGGGUCAACAAACCAGAAUGUCUCCCUGAAUGGAUUUUACAUUAUUUAACGGAAGCAUCAAGUCUCCACCCUAUUGAGUUAAGGAAGAACUAAGUCAUGUUAAGCAAGAAGCUAAGGGUAAUUGAUAUCACUCAGUAAAGUAUUUUAUCCUUGUUCCAGCCAGAUGUUGAAGGUGGCAGGUAAUUUUGUACAUAAUUAUUACUUGUGAAAACUGAGUACAUGGAGAUUUAUGUGACUGCAAGACGUAUUUAAUCUUUAACCAUCAAAGCUUUUGACAAAUACGCAACCAGUUUUCUGUCUGUUAAGUGUAUAAAACUUUGAACAUGCAUUGGGCAAGGGUGAGUGAAACCUGAUAUUUCUGCAUUACAAAAGCAGAAACAAACACUUCCAUAUUUGACUUGCUCGGAAUACUACAAGCAUGAUGCCAGUAAAAUACAUUUGAAAACCUGGAAUCACUGAGAACAGAUAGUGAAUAAUUUCUGUCUGAAGUGAUUUCAGGUGAUGACCCUGCUAAAACAGGAGCCUAACACAGCACAGCUUGCUGUAGUGUCACAAAAGAGCUAAAAGUGUCUGCAGUGGAAGCAAUCAUAAUCUAAUAAAAAUGUUGUGGUAAAUUUUAUGUAGAAAAAUGUGUAUAAAAGCUCAGGGGUAUUAUUAACAAAAUGACUGACAAGUGCUUUUUUUCUUCUCUUCCCUCCUGGAAUCAGAGUCAUGCUGUGUCACUGGUUAGAGGUGAAAACCAAAUGGCUAGAAUAAAGUAUCAAGGAAAUGUCAGUCCUUUUGGCUACUUCUGUCAUUCAAAUGAACCCUGACUAAUUACAGGACCAAAUUACUCAGUUGAAUAUACACAAGAAAAUACAGACCUUUCUUUCAUCUGGGAGGUGGUUGCGAGUGUGUACAGCAUCACAUCAGAGUACCUCUGGGGUUUCCACACAAUGGCUUGCAAGUUAGCAAGGAUCCUUUCUGAACUCAAGAAAUCCUAGAAAUUAAAAUCCUCUUGGUAAAAAAUGUAACCAUAUUUCUUUUUUCUAACUAUUUUGGUAAUUAAUUUUAAGAAAAUCUCACCUGCAAAAAUUAUUAAUUUGUAUUUCAGGAAUAUUGUACAUAAUUGCAAAGAUUCGGAGUGCAUUUUUUGCUCUGCAAAAAACUUAGAUAUUAUGAGGCUUCAUUUUGCCUUAGAAAUGUAAAUUUUGCAGAAAUACGUUGACAUGUUUAGCAUCGUAACAAUGUGUGCCCUAGUUUUGAUAUGGAAAAUUAUUUGAGCAAUAGAAAAACUGGAAAUUGGCAUAGAGCAACAAGAGCUGCAAAUUAUAUUAAUUUUGUUAAAGGGACAAAAUAAGCCUCCUGUAGUUUUAUAUAAUUCUGAACCUUGGAGUGUGGGGUUUUUUUAAUACUUAAGCAAAUAUUCAUCUGCAAAUAGGAGUUUCAUUGCACUGUUUUUCCACUAAGAAAUGGAAAUGGAUAUGGGACUUAUGUGCUCCCCUAAAAGUUGGGAUAAUGUGUAAUAUAUGGGUGAAAGAGUGGUGGACUUAGGCCAAAUAUCCAUGAAAUGCUGCAUCCCUGUGGUUCCUAGAGAAGAAGUUGUGCUAUCUUUUCUUUGCACCUUGUCUCAGUUCAGAUGGCCAAUUCCUUGUUGUCGAAGUGCUGCUUGUUCCUAUCCUUUCCCUCCUUCCAAACUCUCAGCUUAGCUGCAAGACUGGGUGGACAGAGCUUUUUCAGUGGUUUUGGACUCUGGUAGCUAAUCUUCCAGCCAUGGGGAUAGGAGAGUGCCAUUUCCUUCCUAGGCACAGGUUUGGUUUCUGCCUGCUCUCAUCUGUGGAGUAUACACCUGACCUGAAGGGCUUGGAAUUGACUUUUGGAUUCAAAAAACAGGUAUUGCCAUAAGUACCAGCCGUGUCUUUUCAGCAGAGUAGUGUCUGUGGUCUGGUGUGCUGUUGUUGCUGAUGACUGGGAUUCUUUGACUAGUGUUUUUCUGAGAAAAAAACCACCAUUAAUCAGGUAACAAACCAUCGAAGUUUGCUUAUAAAGGUGAGGCAUCGUGGUGUGCAUUCAGCCCUGUGCAUUAGAGGACAUACAUCUUUCACCUUCAUUAAGACUCUUCCAGCAUUUGCCAAGAGUGAAUAAAAGCACCAGAGCUUGGUCCUUCUCCAGCUGCAUGCUGACAUUAAAUGUUGUCAAGACAAGCUCAAAGGUUAGAUAGCAUUUCUGCCUACUGUGAUGUAUUGAUCUUGUUCUUAUGUUGUUAAAGUAAUUAAAAUUAUGUCUGUGACUGUUUAUAAAAUCUCUCAGUUAUAGAAAUGAACUGCCUUUAGAGAAAUGAACAGUCCUGUAAGAAAGAGACACAGUGAACAAGAACAUGAGCCAGAAAGAAAAUUAUAUUCAUUUUCACAAAUUGAAUUAUCUGAAAUAACUGCUAACAAUUAUACACAGCCAUUCUUCAUUCCAAAUGACAGCAAAGGUACUGAGGGAAAACUACAUACUUGUGCUUUUUUGGAUGAGUAUAUGAAACUCAUAAAUAAAAGAAAUUUCACAUGCUGGAUUAUAAUACCUUGCAGUGUCCGGAAACUCACCAGUGGAAGGGGAGCAGGGGCAGGUUAAUUGCAGGAGUUGGAGGAACUGAAAAGCUGCACUGCUGGGAUGGACAAGAUGAUUUAGAACAUUUUCUCAAAUGAUUACCCAAUGGCUUAACUAUUUACCAUUAUCCUUCAAAAUUAACAUACAAUUUUACUGUACUUUUAGAAUAUCCAAGUCAUGCUUUCAGAUACUUCUGUGCUCAAAAAAUGAAUUCAGAUGGAAGCAAAAGCACAGUUUGUAUCAAUUGCAAAUGCAAAUACUACCAUAGUUAUAUGUCAGGUGGCUGCUACAGUUAUCUCAUGUAGUUACUGUACUUAUUCUUCAAACCUAGUAGAUAAAUUUCUGUAUUACCAUAUAGCAAUGUGCUGUUCAGAUUGCAAAAUCAAAUAAACACAAAUAAAA